UUUCCGUAGGUGAACCUGCGGAAGGAUCAUUAUUGUAUAACCGAGGUGCGAGGGCUGUCGCUGACCCGAAAGGUCGUGCACGCCCGAGUGCCCUCACACACAUCCCUCUCACCCCUAUGUGCACCACCGCGUGGGUCUCCCUUGGGCUUGUUCGGAGGGGGGCUUACGUUUUCACUCAAACUUUGUAUGCAGUGUAGAAUGUAUUUUUUGUUUUUGCGUUCACGCAAUCAAUACAACUUUCAACAACGGAUCUCUUGGCUCUC
rnacentral:misc_RNA from 1 species